UUUCGCCCGGAGAUAGCUGGGAUAGGCUCCAGCACGCCCGCGACCCGCGUGAGGAGAGGAGAAGCAGAAUGAAUGAAUGAAUGAAUGAAUGAAUGAAUGAAUGAAUAACUGGCUGAACGUACCCAUGACGUGCUCCGUUUCAAGCGCAUGCGCGUUAUUGAAGCUGUGCGAUACUGCCUGCUGUUGACGCUGCGGCCUGUAGGGGGCACAUCUCUCGCUGAGCCAAAACAAUCUUGUCGUUUGUCCUCAACUUUAGCUACAUGCUAACAAGCAGUUAACACACUUUUCUGGCAAAACCUCAACCAGACGAGAAGUCGCAUUACGUUUCGGAUUAGUCAUGGAGUCUUGCGAAAAGUUGCGGACUUGUUGGUGUGUUUUCGUGCGAUAGUUGAAGCUUGGCUUAGCAUCGAGCCGCCAAACAAACAAAAGUCUCCUGAACCUCGUUGACCGACACAAACGUUGAAGAGUUCUCCCUGGUUUGCCUGGCAGCAUCGCAGCAAAAUGUCCAUUUUAGGCUUAAAAAAGAAACAACCAAAGACCUUCAAGGUCAAAGUCACCACCAUGGAUGCUGAGAUGGAGUUUAGCUGUGAGGUCAAGUGGAAAGGCAAAGACUUGUUUGACCUGGUGUGUCGCACUGUGGGCUUGAGGGAGACCUGGUUCUUUGGCCUGCGCUACACGGUCAAGGAUACGUACGCUUGGCUUAAACCUGACAAACGAGUCCUGGACCAGGAGGUUCCUAAAGACUCACCAAUCACAUUUCACUUCUUGGCCAAAUUCUUCCCUGAGAAAGUAGAAGAUGAACUCGUUCAAGAGAUCACACAGCACCUCUUCUUCUUACAGGUGAAAAAACAGAUCUUGGAUGAGGAGAUUUUCUGCUCUCCAGAAGCUUCUGUUCUUCUGGCCUCGUACGCUGUCCAAGCCAAAUACGGCGACUAUGACCCCAACUUCCACAAGCCGGGCUUCCUGGCGCAGGAUGAACUUCUGCCUAAAACGGUGCUGAUGCAGUACCAGAUGACAGCUGACAUGUGGGAGGAGAAGAUCACAGCCUGGUACGCCGAGCACAGGGGCAUCGCCAGGGAUGAAGCAGAGAUGGAGUAUCUGAAGAUAGCUCAGGACCUGGAGAUGUACGGCGUCAGCUACUUCGACAUCACCCAAAACAAGCGAGACACAGACUUGCUGCUGGGCGUGGACGCGCAGGGUCUUCACAUCUACAGCCCCAACAGCAAGCUCACCCCCAACAAGUCUUUCCCCUGGAGCGGCAUUCGCAACAUCUCGUACAGCGAGAAAGAGUUCACCAUCAAGCCUCUGGACAAGAAGAAAGACGUCUUCAAGUUCUACUCAUCUCAGCUGCGCGUCAACAAGCUGAUCUUGCAGCUGUGCAUCGGCAACCACGAUCUGUUCAUGCGGCGGAGGAAGGUGGACUCCAUCGAGGUGCAGCAGAUGAAGGCCCAGGCCAAAGAGGAGAAGGCCCGUAAGAAGAUGGAGCGGCAGAUCCUGGCGCGCGAGAAGCAGAUGCGGGAGGAGGCAGAGCGAGCCAAAGAGGAGAUGGAGCGAAGACUUUUCCAGCUGCAGGAUGAGGCGCGCCUCGCCAACGAGGCGCUGCUACGCUCGGAGGAGACGGCAGACCUCCUGGCGGAGAAGGCUCAGAUCGCGGAGGAAGAGGCCAAGCUGCUGGCUCACAAGGCGGCCGAGGCCGAGCAGGAACGCCAGAGGUUAGAGGUCAACGCCAUGAAGACCAAAGAGGAGAAGAGGCUCAUGGAGCAGAAGAUGAGAGAGGCUGAGCAGCUCGCCGUCAAGCUGGUGGAGCAGUCUGAAAGAAGACUGAAGGAAGCGGACCACCUGAAGCAGGACCUGACCGAGGCCAAGGAUGCCGAGAGGAGGGCCAAGCAGAAACUCCUGGAGAUCACCAAGACCACCUAUCCGCUGAUAGCAGCUUAUUCGGCUCCUCCUCCCGUUCCGGCGUCUGCCUCCGCGCCUGCCGCUCCUCCGGGAGCUGGCGCGGCCUACGAAACAACGUCAUCGCGUCUCGACUUUAAAGACUCGGACAUGAAGAGGCUCUCCAUGGAGAUCGAGCGCGAGAGGCUGGAGUACAUGGAGAAGAGCAAACAUCUUCAGGACCAACUGAAGGAGCUCAAGUCUGAGAUCGAGUCUCUGAAGCUGGAGGAGCAGCAGCAGCAGCCUCAGCCUCAUCCUCAUCUUUCUCACCUUCCUCAUCAGCAGGCGGCCGGCAUGUACGCGCUCCACGACGCCAGAACUUACACCCCAGAACCGCUUUACAUCCCUCACAGCAACUGUGAAAGGCCCCUGCGUCAGAGAGCAACGACGACGGCGGCAACGGAGGUACAGCCAUCCCAUAUUUGGAAGUGGUGACGCACGCGUCCUCGAAGGAAGUCGGGAGGCUUUCCCCGUUGAGUGGACCGCAACUCUGCAAGAAACUCGGCUUUCGUGUCGCAGAUGGCCUUCUUUGAGGAGGUCUGAGGAGGAAAACGAGGAGGAGGUGGAGGAAGCCGGUCCGUGCGCCUCUCCUGACUGACGGUGCCUUUGGAACACUCAAAGACUUUUUGGCUUUUGGUCUUCUUUGUUCACAGGUGCAUUUUUCGUACAUUUGAUUUGCUUUCACAGAACACAGUUGACUCAUUUCAACUCUUCGACUUCAACUUUUUAUCUACUUUUCGAUUUACUCGGGUCAGUCUGCUUGUUUCCUUAAUGUUGUUGUUCUCUGGUGAGUUUUGGCUUUGCUGUCAUAUUUGGUUUGAUUGACAAUUGACAUUUUGUUCUUGUUUACGCGACACCACACGUCAACACUCUUGACUCCGCCUCCUCGUGUUUUAUUUUGUAUUGUCUUCUAUUGUUCAGUCUUGAUAUUUAUUUCUAUGUUGUAGUUCAUCACCACGAGGGCCUUUUGUUUGCCACAUCCAAGUGUUACAAGUGCUUUUAUUUGACACCACAAAAAGUCAACGUUUGCUUUCAAUGAUUUUCUACUGUACACAUCAUUUCAAUAGAGCUUUGUUACAAUGCACCGAGUGCCGCCUCAUGUCUGCCGCUACAAAUGAAAAUCACUUUUCCUUUUGAUUUUCUUUUUACGUAGUGGUUUUUAUUAGCUUUAGUUGAAGAGAUAAAAAAGUCUAAAAGGAUCGUUGAAGCCCUCCAGAGUUGAAUUUCUUUCAGAGCGAAUUCUUGUCACGUUGUUGUUCUCGCUCAGUAUCUUGAGACACACACCCCAGAUGGACACGGUUAAAUUUAAGCGUUGCAGACACAUCUCACAGUGCUUAACAAGCACCGUGAAUACUAUUACGUCACGUUAUAGUUGCGCACACUAGUAUAAUAAUGGCCAGUGUACUUAUAUACAUAGUAUCUGCUAGUGGCUGGCUAUAUAUAAUAUAUUAUUAGUGGUGGGCAAGUGAAGCCUCAUGAAGCACUGAGGCUUUCGUAAACAAUUGUGCCGAAAAAGAUUCAAGGCUUCAGUGAUGGUGACAUCUGGUGGAGAACCCAAGCCAUAGCAACCUCUAAAGAGCACGACUGAAGCACUGGCACUGUUUCCCAUGACAGCAAUAAAAGUUCAGAAAGGUCUGGAUGGUCAUUCAAGUGUUUUGUUCAUUCAUACC